GGGGGGGAUGCUGGUGCGCCUGGGCUGGGGAGCUGCGAGCUCGGCAUCGCGGCCGCUCGGCCGGCACUGCGGACAGCUUGCUGCAGCGUCCGGGGAGGAAACCGAACGGCACCUUCCAAAUAUAGCUCCUACCGCGCAUCUGCCCGCCGAGCGCUGCAGGGGGAAGAAAGAGAAACACAAUCCCUUCUCAUCUUCUCUGGUGGCCUUGCCUAACUUCUCAGUGCCUCAGUUUGCCAGGUUCUGGGAUCGUAAAGCCCUGUAAAAGACUCGGAGAUCCUGGCACUCGGGGGGAGGAAGGGAGAGCCCCUUGCUCUGGGCACAGACCACAGUCAGGCUCGGCGGAGUCUGGGAGCAGGGACCACUCACUGGGAGCCCGGAAAAUUCAGGAGUAUGAAACCUGCACAAGGAGAAAAAGCAUUCAGGUUCCCCAGGACUUUGGGCAGGAAGGCAGACCCUGACCCCAGCUGUCCUGUCCCAGCAAGAAGCUGGCCGCUGUCUGUUGGCCAUACAGGACCUGGAGGCUUGGAGUGACGGCUGUCCCCAGAGCAUCGCUCUCAGCUCAGCAGCGUUCCCCGCACCAAUUGGAGAGAGAAUUAUCCACUGUUUGUUUGCCCUGAUUUGUUUUUAACAAAACUGUGCUGCUGGCUGUUUAUCACUUCAUUUUCCUCCAGGAGAUGAGGCAAGCGAAGGAGAUCAGCCAGAAUAAAACAUGACCUUUA